UACGUAGGGUGCGAGCGUUGUCCGGAAUUAUUGGGCGUAAAGAGCUCGUAGGCGGUGUGUCACGUCGUUCGUGAAAACCUGCAGCUUAACUGUGGGCAUGCGGUCGAUACGGGCAUCACUGGAGUUCGGCAGGGGAGACUGGAAUUCCUGGUGUAGCGGUGAAAUGCGCAGAUAUCAGGAGGAACACCGGUGGCGAAGGCGGGUCUCUGGGCCGAUACUGACGCUGAGGAGCGAAAGCGUGGGUAGCAAACAGG
rnacentral:rRNA from 1 species